rnacentral:rRNA from 1 species
GAUCCUGGCUCAGGACGAACGCUGGCGGCGUGCUUAACACAUGCAAGUCGAGCGGGGAUGUUCGGAGUGCUUGCACACUGAACAUUCUAGCGGCGGACGGGUGAGUAACGCGUGAACAAUCUGUCCCAUACAGGGGGAUAACAGAUGGAAACAUCUGCUAAUACCGCAUAAGACCACGAUGCCACAUGGCGAUGGGGUAAAAGGAGCAAUCCGGUAUGGGGUGAGUUCGCGUCCG